rnacentral:lncRNA from 1 species
AUGGCUAAAGAGUUGUAAAAUAUUUUACUGAUGAAACAGGCCCAGGGAAGAUAAAUUUGAACAUUCUCUCCAAACAAGUGACGCUUUAAGACUGUUCUCGGAAUAUCCUUAGUCAGAAAUGGUGCAGAACAUUGAUGGAGGAGUAGCGACGGUUCUUUUUAUUUCUCCUCUUCUCUCCUCUUUUUCUUGUUAUCUGUUCCACACCCCUUUGCCUCCAGGGUGCACUAAUUUUAUGUAUUUUAGGUUUUUUUUUGGGGGGAGGGACAGUACAAGUGAGGCCCAGUCCCAUUCUUUCUCUUUUCUUUUUUUAGCCUAAUUCAAGACAAAAAAAAAGAGCUUUCAUGGAAAGAACAGAUGUCAUCUGCUUUGGUCUUUUGUGGUGGUUUUAUUUUAUUUUAUUAAAAAAAAUCUUCCUGCAGAUGAGGCUCAUUUAAACAUAAUGACAGGGCAACAAAAGGCCUUGUACAGAGGAGCUUCAGAUUUGGUUUGACUGAGAGAGGGAGCCCAAACAAGGAGCUGUCCUGUCCUUUGGGCUCCCCUCUUUUGAGUCCAGAGCAGCUGCAUUUCAGAUGCAAAUAGAGCUUUGGGAGGGGAAGGAGGAGGGCGGUGGAAAUGCCCAGGAAGCUGGCGUGCAGGUGUUGAGGAUUCCAGACAUCACUGCAACAACAGGCUCUGGGAACACAGAGCCCACAGACAGAGUGGGCUGGAGAGGGCUGGCUUGGAGGGCUCAAGUGGACCCGCAGCUGCACUGGACAUUCCUUUUUGUGGUCAUCAAUGGGCACUGUAUUGAAAAUAUGAGAGUGAGCAACUGGCACAUUCAGAGAAAGGAAACACUUGGAAACGAAGCAAAUGCGAAGCCGAAGGGGCUCCCCCUUAGCGGUGCCCAUUGUUUAAACCCCUGUACAUGUGUAAAAUAGACAUUUGAUACAUGAUACUGUGGCAUCCUGGGGCUGGAAGGAAUCCCUGGAAUCAUCAGAUUGGAGAUGUAUGGAAAAGCAUCAGUGUGUGGCUGUCUACGUCAUCCCAGGGUCCCUCUUUCGUGCUGCCCUGUGGGUCAAGACGUAUUUGCCACACCCAAAAGUGUCUGCCCCGUGAGACCACGGAAUUUCCUAUGCUACUUCUCUAGCGCUGGCGUCACAGGUUUGGGAUUCCUCAUGCAGAGAGAGUGGAGUAUCCCUCGCCUAUCACAAACUGCUAAAAACACCCAGCGACCACCUUUAAAUAAACCAGUCUAUGAGCCUCACCUUGCUCCUGGUUCACACGUGUGCAUCCUGUAUCCCCUCCUCCCCGGGCUGCUGCAGGCAGCGCUGCAGCAUUGCUCCUGCCUGAAGGAUGAGCCGGAGAGGGCUAAUAUACAAAGGAUGGACUGA